CCUACGGGCGGCAGCAGUGGGGAAUAUUGGGCAAUGGGCGCAAGCCUGACCCAGCAACGCCGCGUGAAGGAAGAAGGCUUUCGGGUUGUAAACUUCUUUUCUGAGGGACGAAGAAAGUGACGGUACCUCAGGAAUAAGCCACGGCUAACUACGUGCCAGCAGCCGCGGUAAUACGUAGGUGGCAAGCGUUAUCCGGAUUUAUUGGGUGUAAAGGGCGUGUAGGCGGGAAUGCAAGUCAGAUGUGAAAACUAUGGGCUCAACCCAUAGCCUGCAUUUGAAACUGUUGAUCUUGAGUACUGGAGAGGCAGACGGAAUUCCUAGUGUAGCGGUGAAAUGCGUAGAUAUUAGGAGGAACACCAGUGGCGAAGGCGGUCUGCUGGACAGCAACUGACGGUGAGGCGCGAAAGCGUGGGGAGCAAACAGGAUUAGAUACCCCGGUAGUC
rnacentral:rRNA from 1 species